CAGCAGCCACGGUAACACGAAGGGGGCUAGCGUUGUUCGGAAUUACUGGGCGUAAAGCGCACGUAGGCGGAUCGAUCAGUCAGGGGUGAAAUCCCAGGGCUCAACCCUGGAACUGCCUUUGAUACUGUCGAUCUGGAGUAUGGAAGAGGUGAGUGGAAUUCCGAGUGUAGAGGUGAAAUUCGUAGAUAUUCGGAGGAACACCAGUGGCGAAGGCGGCUCACUGGUCCAUUACUGACGCUGAGGUGCGAAAGCGUGGGGAGCAAACAGGAUUAGAUACCCCCGUAGUCCCUGUCUCUUAUAC
rnacentral:rRNA from 1 species